CCUGGUGAUAAAUCUACCUAUCACCUACCUAUCUAUCUGCCUCUCUCUCUCUCAUGCAUAUCUACGAAGCGAUUAGGUAAUAUAUUGCUUGUAGAACUUAUUAUGCCAGGCUUCAGCUCAUAUAAAUCCAAUAUGCUUUAAAUAAACCAGAUAAGCAUAACCAAGUUCAUCCACAUAAAGGAUACUGAUGAAUUUGCCUUGGCAAACAGAGUUAAACAUCUCUGUUAAAGUAUUUGCUGAACAUGAAUUGAAAUGAUGAAAAUCUAUUUUUGCAGGGAAGAUUGGAUUUUUUUUUUUUUUGGGGGGGGGCAGAGUUAAGAUGAUAAGGAAAGAAGCGUGGCCUUUGUACUGGGACUUGAGGAGCAUGUGGGCUUAGAUGAAGGAAGAAACAGGAGAGGGCUUCUAGGUGGAGAGACAGAGCGGACUAGCAGAACUGGCCUGCAAGAAUAUUCUUUCAUCUUUAGGCUUCCUCUUAAAAGUCACUGAGUCAGAAAUGCUUUCCUCAAUGUCCCAGUUCAAUAGCAUCCCACUUUUAUUUUCCUCCUUCAUAGCGUCUUGCCGUUUUCCUGUGAAGCAUGUUGUUAUUAUUUAAAACUGAAAAUCUAUCCAUGUGUGUUGAGGACAGGAGGGUGACAUUCACAUGUUUUCAGUUAGCAGCAGUCUCCUUUGUGUGCUCUGUGAGGAUAGAUAUUAGGACUGUUUUAAUGUAUGCUUGCCCUUGGUAGCAUAACUAUCUGACACACUGUGUUAUGAGACAUUUCUUCACUGAAUGAAUACUUGGGCAAAUGUAUCAAUGGGACAAUCAGGAGACUCACCUCCACAGAGGGAGCUGCUAUGAUCUAGAGAAAUAGAAAUGGAUGAGGAUCAAGACAGAUAACUCUGCCCCUGCCCCCAAAAGGGCCAUAAGUAAAUCGGUAGUCUUCUCUGAGUCUCCAGGGUCCUUUAUGUAAAGUCAGAGUUGGAGCCUAGACCAGUGCAUGGGUUGUGUUAGGUUGUCAUGAUUCUCUAGUUCUUUGCUUAGAAGCUUUGUAUUUUAAUAGCUAAGUACUCAUGGGUGAGAACACAUAUAUGAGAGUGCUUUCUAGUACACAGAGAAAGGGCAAAGGAUAGUUUCUUUCUUUCUCAAUUAUACAAGUAUCCACUGAGCAAUUGCUGUGUACAAGGCCUAAGGAGAGGCAGAGUUGAGUUAAACACAGCCCCUGACUUUAGGAGCAGAGACAGAGAAUGAAAGAGGAAGAAAAGCAUGAGGAUUAAGAAGGACAAGAGGACUUCUCUGGUAGUCCAGCAGUUAAGAUGCUGGCUUCCAAUGCAAGGGAUGCAGGUUCGAAUCCUGGUCAGGAAGCUAAGACCCCAUAUGCUUUGUGGCAAAAAAAAAAAAAGAACAUAAAACAGAAGCUAUAUUGUAAUAAGCUCAAUACAGACUUUAAAAAUGGUGCAUAUUUUAAAAAUUCUUUAAAAACAGGACAGAGAAAGAGGAGCCACAAAAGAAAGAAAAGAUGAACAAGGAGAGGGAGGAGAAAAGGGCAUUUUAUUAAGCAUGGUGCCAAGUAUUUUACCCAUCUUAUCUCAUUUUACAAAUGUUGAAACCUUGGUUUCAAAAGAUAAACUAUGAAGCUGUUGAGGGCCUGAAUUAACAUGAAAUCUGACUGCUCAUUCCUUGGUAUCAAGGUCCGGACACUCUCAUGUCUGGUGCAAACAAAGAGGCAGCUACAGUGGUUUGAUGAGAACCUUGAUGGAGAGCUGUACUCUUUGUGUUUUCAGUCUGAGACCAAGGCCCUGCUCUCUUAUUCCUCAGGCUUCUCUCUUUCAAUGCUUCAGCUUGCUCACCCCUAUUCUGCACUUACCCUUAGAGAAAAGACCUUCCCAGGCCAACAGCAGGGAUAAGACUUCCCUCCCUCUCACCUCUUCCCAGAAAGGUACAGAAAGAGAGGAAGCUUGCAGAGGCUCAGGCCCACGACCAGAUGGGGAGAUGGCAAGAGAGGAUACAAACAGAGCCUGAAGCAUUGUGGCUCCUCUUCUCAAUUUUUCCUUCUCUUCCUUUGCAGCUUUUCAAUUUCAUUCACUAUUUCAAUGGGAUUUGGGGAUUGCAUUGAAAUGAUGGUAAUAGAGGUGCCUGUGGCAAACUAGCUGUGACUUUUCAGCUUCCAAGGAAAACAAUUAUCCUAAUCUGGUCUACCCUCCCAGGUUCUCCCCCAUCAGUGAAACUUCACUGGGUUUCGAGAGCAUUUUCAUAGAGGAGAGGAGAAAUGUUGCUUCGUGUGACUACAUCUUGCCUGCAAUUCUCCUUUCUCCCAUUCGUUUGCUUCCCCUCUGGUUUGUCAAGCAUCUACCAUGCUUCAUCCAGCUACCAUUCACUGAGCCCUUGCUAAGUGCUUAAUCAAGAGCCUUAGUACAGUGUUUCCUUUCAUCUGCACAAUGCCCCACAAGCAAUGUAUGAUCAUAGUGCUCAUCUGUCCCAGAGAGUGAAGUAACCUGCUCAAAGUCACAGCUGUGACGAAGAGGAGACACGAUUUGAACUUAGAUGUUUAAUUUCAGAGCCUUAAGUGCUUAACAUGUUAGUAUUGUACAGCCUCUCCACUACAAACCCUGUGUGUUGGUUACCAUUCUGUCAUUUUUUAAAAAUCUUGAAACCAAGGCACAGAGAGCCGAAGGUUUGCCCCAGGUUGUGGGUGUUGUUGCUGUUCAGGCUCUAAGUUGUGUCCAACUCUUUGCGACACCAUGGACUGCAGCACUCUAGGCUUCUCUAUCUUUCACUGUCUCCCAGAGUUUGCUCAAAUGCAUGUUCGUUGAGUCAUGAGUGAUGCCAUCCAACCGUCUCAUCCUCUGUCACCCGCUUCUCCUCUUGCCCUCAAUCCUUCCCAGUACCAGGGUCUUUUCCAAUGAGUCGGCUCUUUGCAUCAGGUGAUCAGAAUAUUGGAGCUUCAGUCCCAGGUUACACAGCUUGGGAUUCUAGGCCAUCCAAUCCUAGUGUGCAUACUGUUCCCACCAUACCAAAUCCAUAUGGGUGGUGCUGUGCCAGGGUAGAGGGUUGCCAGGGAGGUUUGUCUCUUAAAAAGACCAUCCUGGCUGGCACAUGGAGCACUGCCCAGUAUAAGCUUGGACACCAGGAAGCCAGUCCUCCUCAUAUCCACACCAGUGCAGGGCUGUAAGCUUCUCUUUCUGAUUUCUCCUCCUUUCAGGAUUCUCCCACAUGAUUUUUUCAGUCUGAUUUCAGUUGUGGGAUAAGAAGAUGAGAAGCUGGUGUUGGAGCAUUGAAUGUAUAGGGAAGCCAGCCUAUAUACAUCACAUAUCAAGUCUAGGAAACACCCCCCAACCCUGCAAAUAAAAGACCACAACAACAAAAGCAC
ensembl:lncRNA